GGACUACAGGGGUAUCUAAUCCCGUUCGCUCCCCUAGCUUUCGCGUCUCAGCGUCAGCAGACGUCCAGGACCUCGCUUUCGCCACGGGCGUUCCUUCCGAUCUCAACGCAUUUCACCGCUCCACCGGAAGUUCCAGGUCCCCCUACGUCCCUCCAGGCGGGCCGUUUCGGUUCCACUUCCCCGGUUGAGCCGGGGGCUUUCAGAAGCCGACGUUCCCACCCGCCUACACGCGCUUUAAGCCCAGUGAUUCCGAAUAACGUUCGCACGGUUCGUCUUACCGCGGCUGCUGGCAC
rnacentral:rRNA from 1 species